UGGCGACCGGCGCACGGGUGAGUAACGCGUAUCCAACCUGCCCUUUACUAUGGGACAGCCCGUCGAAAGGCGGAUUAAUACCGUAUGUUGUCAUGUUGAUGCAUAUUUUCAUGACCAAAGGCUUCGGCCGGUAAAGGAUGGGGAUGCGUCUGAUUAGCUUGCCGGCGGGGUAACGGCCCACCGGGGCGACGAUCAGUAGGGGUUCUGAGAGGAAGGUCCCCCACAUUGGAACUGAGGCACGGUCCAAACUCCUACGGAAGGCAGCAG
rnacentral:rRNA from 1 species